ACAUGCCUAUAAUAUAGUGUUAAUGCAUCGGAUCCCAUUAGAACUUCACAGUUACGCACACUCAAGCUAGAGUAGUACUAGGAUGGGUGACUGCUCGAGAAGUCCUAGUGUUUUACAUGCC
rnacentral:rRNA from 1 species